rnacentral:tRNA from 1 species
GGGGCUGUAGCUCAGUUGGGAGAGCGCUUGAAUGGCAUUCAAGAGGUCAGGGGUUCAACUCCCCUCAGCUCCACCA